GCAAGUGCACGGGUCGUACAAGUAAUAUAGAAAAGAUAUCGUUAGCACGAGGAGUUGUGUUAAUGAUCGAAUUUUUGAUAUAAAAAUUAAUUAAUUUAAACUAUUUUUGAAAUUAAAGCAAUAAAUUGAUAGAUAUUGAAGUGUGAAAUUUAUAUAUGCAAAAUUAAUAAUUUAUUCAACAAUGUAAUGAUUCAACUAAAUUUGCGGCAAAUUAAAAUAAACAAAUUGAAAUAUAGCAAGAUUUUAAAUGGCAAGCAAUUAAAUUCGAUUAGAAAUUAACAAUGAUAAAAGGGGCGAUUUCGGAGUUUGGGAGUUCAUAUUCAAGCUAUUUUGGGAUUUUUAAAUUGGUUAUCCAAUCUUAUGAAAUUUACGGGUUUUAAGGAGAUUAAUCAUUAAAUCCUUUGAAUACUCUUUCGAGUGAGAUAAAGAGUGCCUUAAUCAAUCUAAU
rnacentral:misc_RNA from 1 species